UUACCAGGUCUUGACAUCCUUUGACAACCCUAGAGAUAGGGCUUUCCCUUCGGGGACAGAGUGACAGGUGGUGCAUGGUUGUCGUCAGCUCGUGUCGUGAGAUGUUGGGUUAAGUCCCGCAACGAGCGCAACCCUUGAUCUUAGUUGCCAGCAUUCAGUUGGGCACUCUAAGGUGACUGCCGGUGACAAACCGGAGGAAGGUGGGGAUGACGUCAAAUCAUCAUGCCCCUUAUGACCUGGGCUACACACGUGCUACAAUGGACAGAACAAAGGGCUGCGAGACCGCAAGGUUUAGCCAAUCCCACAAAUCUGUUCUCAGUUCGGAUCGCAGUCUGCAACUCGACUGCGUGAAGCUGGAAUCGCUAGUAAUCGCGGAUCAGCAUGCCGCGGUGAAUACGUUCCCGGGCCUUGUACACACCGCCCGUCACACCACGAGAGUUUGCAACACCCGAAGUCGGUGAGGUAACCUUUAUGGAGCCAGCCGCCGAAG
rnacentral:rRNA from 1 species